rnacentral:rRNA from 1 species
UGGCUCAGGACGAACGCUGGCGGCGUGCCUAAUACAUGCAAGUCGAACGAACUCUGGUAUUGAUUGGUGCUUGCAUCAUGAUUUACAUUUGAGUGAGUGGCGAACUGGUGAGUAACACGUGGGAAACCUGCCCAGAAGCGGGGGAUAACACCUGGAAACAGAUGCUAAUACCGCAUAACAACUUGGACCGCAUGGUCCGAGUUUGAAAGAUGGCUUCGGCUAUCACUUUUGGAUGGUCCCGCGGCGUAUUAGCUAGAUGGUGGGGUAACGGCUCACCAUGGCAAUGAUACGUAGCCGACCUGAGAGGGUAAUCGGCCACAUUGGGACUGAGACACGGCCCAAACUCCUACGGGAGGCAGCAGUAGGGAAUCUUCCACAAUGGACGAAAGUCUGAUGGAGCAACGCCGCGUGAGUGAAGAAGGGUUUCGGCUCGUAAAACUCUGUUGUUAAAGAAGAACAUAUCUGAGAGUAACUGUUCAGGUAUUGACGGUAUUUAACCAGAAAGCCACGGCUAACUACGUGCCAGCAGCCGCGGUAAUACGUAGGUGGCAAGCGUUGUCCGGAUUUAUUGGGCGUAAAGCGAGCGCAGGCGGUUUUUUAAGUCUGAUGUGAAAGCCUUCGGCUCAACCGAAGAAGUGCAUCGGAAACUGGGAAACUUGAGUGCAGAAGAGGACAGUGGAACUCCAUGUGUAGCGGUGAAAUGCGUAGAUAUAUGGAAGAACACCAGUGGCGAAGGCGGCUGUCUGGUCUGUAACUGACGCUGAGGCUCGAAAGUAUGGGUAGCAAACAGGAUUAGAUACCCUGGUAGUCCAUACCGUAAACGAUGAAUGCUAAGUGUUGGAGGGUUUCCGCCCUUCAGUGCUGCAGCUAACGCAUUAAGCAUUCCGCCUGGGGAGUACGGCCGCAAGGCUGAAACUCAAAGGAAUUGACGGGGGCCCGCACAAGCGGUGGAGCAUGUGGUUUAAUUCGAAGCUACGCGAAGAACCUUACCAGGUCUUGACAUACUAUGCAAAUCUAAGAGAUUAGACGUUCCCUUCGGGGACAUGGAUACAGGUGGUGCAUGGUUGUCGUCAGCUCGUGUCGUGAGAUGUUGGGUUAAGUCCCGCAACGAGCGCAACCCUUAUUAUCAGUUGCCAGCAUUAAGUUGGGCACUCUGGUGAGACUGCCGGUGACAAACCGGAGGAAGGUGGGGAUGACGUCAAAUCAUCAUGCCCCUUAUGACCUGGGCUACACACGUGCUACAAUGGAUGGUACAACGAGUUGCGAACUCGCGAGAGUAAGCUAAUCUCUUAAAGCCAUUCUCAGUUCGGAUUGUAGGCUGCAACUCGCCUACAUGAAGUCGGAAUCGCUAGUAAUCGCGGAUCAGCAUGCCGCGGUGAAUACGUUCCCGGGCCUUGUACACACCGCCCGUCACACCAUGAGAGUUUGUAACACCCAAAGUCGGUGGGGUAACCUUUUAGGAACCAGCCGCCUAAGGUGGGACAGAUGAUUAGGGUGAAGUCGU